AACCGGAGGAUUAAGCUGUACAGUUAUGGUAAAAAGACAGUUAAACAAAUUAUGAAGGCAGAUUAACAACACUAUUUGGAGGUAGAAUUCGAAUAUAGGUAAAUACUCUCAAUAAAGCCAAUGAGUUGAAGCUGUGAUAACUUUGAGGGAAACUAGGAUUAGAUACCCUAUUAUUCAUAGAAAUAAAUAAGAGAAUUCUACCCGAGUACUAAGAAUAAAAAAUUUAAAACUCAAAGGGCUUGGCGGUGUUUUAGACUACUUAGGGGAACCUGUCUCAUAAUCGACAAUCCACGUUAGACCUAACCUUUUUUUGCACUUCAGUUUGUAUACCGUCGUCGUCAGGUAACUUUUAAGAUAUAAGCAGUUAGCUAAAGAAUAUCUAAAUUAAAACGUCAGAUCAAGGUGCAGCCAAUGAAAAGGUGCGGAUGGGUUACAGUUACGAAUUCGUAAUUACGGACAACAAUUUUAAAAAAGUUGAUAAGGAGGACUUAAAAGUAAAAUGAAUUAUAUAAGUAUUUUGAAUAAAGCUCUGAGACGUGC
rnacentral:rRNA from 1 species